ACCUGCUUAUUCUGCUAACACCUCCGUACCAAAACAAAGCAUCGCCGGGACUAAAAAGAACCCACACCCACCGGCCCAGCCAUUCUCUCUCCCCUUCCCACCUCCAGCCCACCUACCCAUCUCUCUUCUCACAGCCUGAUCCACUCUCUCGCCGUGCCCACAGGCCACCGGCGGCGGCGUGCCCAACCACAACCCGCCUCCUCUCCUCAAGCCGUCGGACGCCUUCUCCCUCCCCAACGCCGCCCUCCGCCACCUCCCUUCCCUGCCGGCGCCCGGCAAAGCCACCGCCCGCUCCCAACCUUCUUGCCCCUGGGCGCAUCGCCGCCUGCGCCCAGCCUCCUGACCCUCGACCGCGUCGCCGCCUGCGCCCAGUCUCCUGGCCUCCGGCCGCCGCCUGCAUUCACCCUCCCGGCCACAGGCCACGGUGCCCGCGCCCAACCUCCUGGAUCUGAGCUGAUGAGGUCAAGGAGUGCUGGCUGCCCACGUUCGGAUCCCAUUGAUGCGCGGCCGCCCAUGUACAACAACGCCACGCGCCGAUCCGCAGGAUCCGUCGAUUCCUGCCUUCGCUGACCACGUCCAGGGCCGCCCGAUGCGCAGAUCCAAGGCCCCUUGGGGGCGGCCGCCCUAGUGCCAAGCCACGCCCCCUAGAGAGCUCCUCAUCGUGGAUUCCCCUCCCUGGAUCUCUCUCGUUGUCCCCUGCCUCGGGCACUACUGCCACUCUGAUCCCGCGGGUGCUCUUCCCCCUAUCUUCACCGUCGUGGCGCUCGAGCACAGUAGAGAUAGUGGUGGCGACCUUCUGCCAGCUACCCUCUUGCUUGGGAUUCCAUGGUGAUGAAGACGUGCAGUGCAGCCGGAUCCCAUGAGCAGUGCGCCCGGCGCCCUCGUGUGGUUCAUCCACUGCCACCGGGGAUUCCCUCCCUUCCCUAACCUCUCUACACAACAGACGAGCUGCUCUUUUGUCGCUCAUGGGCGCGCGCCUGACGGGGCUGCUACUAGUCCGAGCUACCACCACCUCUCAUCCCGACGACAACUACCUAUGUUUCGAGAUGCCUCACCUUGAGCUCAGUCUGGGUGUCUGUGGUGCAGUCCAGCCACAGUGGACAUGUAGUUCCGUGCUCGUGUUGGUGGAGGUCAUGGGCGCACCAGCGACGACGACAGCAACACCUUGAUCUCCGGCAUAGUUUGUGGACUGCAGGUUUAAUGCAAUGUUUGCUGAGUUCAAUGCAAUGUCAGGGUGUGGAGUGCAGGUUCUUUGAGUGGCAUGAUGAUCCAAAUACUUCAUUUCUGAAUUCGCUGCUCAAUAAAUUGCGUGAUACUAUGUAUUGUCUGAAAACAGAGAAGAAACAGUUGGAGGAAUCUCGAAUCCAAGUUGAAGCUCGCAUGAACAAGGCUAUAGAUGUGGAGAUGGGCACGCGACAGAAGUAGAAGAAAUUCAUAUGAAAUUGGAAAGAUUUAGAGAGAUGUAUCAGUCUAUUGAGAAAGAUGUGCCAGUAUGUCCAGACAUAUUUGUAUGUUCAGAAAAUUGAAUAAUUUAGAAAUGUUUGUGGAGUUCAAAAACUUGUAUGUUACAUUGUUACUGCUUGUUUGUAAGCAACUCAUUUUGUCCAAUACUAGGUGUUUUUAAGCAAUUUCAUUUA